rnacentral:rRNA from 1 species
GAUGAACGCUGGCGGCGUGCCUAAUACAUGCAAGUCGAGCGAACAGACGAGGAGCUUGCUCCUCUGACGUUAGCGGCGGACGGGUGAGUAACACGUGGAUAACCUACCUAUAAGACUGGGAUAACUUCGGGAAACCGGAGCUAAUACCGGAUAAUAUAUUGAACCGCAUGGUUCAAUAGUGAAAGACGGUUUUGCUGUCACUUAUAGCUGGAUCCGCGCCGCAUUAGCUAGUUGGUAAGGUAACGGCUUACAAAGGCAACGAUGCGUAGCCGACCUGAGAGGGUGAUCGGCCACACUGGAACUGAGACAAGGUCCAGACUCCUAAGGGAGGCAGCAGUAGGGAAUCUUCCGCAAUGGGCGAAAGCCUGACGGAGCAACGCCGCGUGAGUGAUGAAGGUCUUCGGAUCGUAAAACUCUGUUAUUAGGGAAGAACAAAUGUGUAAGUAACUAUGCACGUCUUGACGGUACCUAAUCAGAAAGCAACGGCUAACUACGUG